rnacentral:rRNA from 1 species
GUCCACGCCCUAAACGAUGUCUACUAGUUGUCGGGUCUUAAUUGACUUGGUAACGCAGCUAACGCGUGAAGUAGACCGCCUGGGGAGUACGGUCGCAAGAUUAAACUCAAAGGAAUUGACGGGACCCGCACAAGCGGUGGAUGAUGUGGAUUAAUUCGAUGCAACGCGAAAACCUUACCUACCCUUGACAUGGAUGGAAUCUCCGAGAGAUUGGAGAGUGCCCGAAAGGGAACCAUUACACAGGUGCUGCAUGGCUGUCGU